rnacentral:lncRNA from 10 species
GGGCAGUCAUCAGUGGUGUUGACUCAACAGAGUGAGGACAGGCUUGGGCUUCCAGUGAGGUGCCCUGGUCGGCUGAGGGCUGGCAGGGCAGACCUACAGGAAGGGGUCCCUGAGGGGUUCCAAGGCACAGCCCGAGGACAUCACAGGAGGUCCCAGGGAAACAGAUCAUCCCGCCUGGGGAGAAGCCCUCUCUUGAACUAGCCAAGAGUGGAGACACUGGGCCCUGCAAAGACGUGGGUCAGAAGUUGCCCUGGCCCCAACAGCCUGAACACAGACACCACCCUGGAAACGAGGAGACAAGUAGGCACGAGGGGCACGGAGAGGGGCUGCCCAUUCCUCCAGGCAAGGACAAGGCUCCUGCCAUGCUCAGAAGGAGCCCGGCUGGCCUCCAUGCUGAGGACUUGGAGGGCAUCUCGUGCUUGAUCAUGAGGGGACUGUCUGCAGGACACAGCAAAGGAGUCCAAGGCCCCCACACCCAGGACACCCCUGCUCCUGGCUCCUCCAGGCACAGAGGAUCGCAGCCAUGGAAGAGGACUCAGGGAAGAGGCUAGACCAUGUGGGGAGCUUGCCAAGAAUUCCUCGGGAGCACAGGACUGCAGGCACCUCUUGCCAACCACAAUACCCCUCUCCAGCUGUGUCACAGACCUCCCCCUGCAGAUGCCCGUGAAUUUGCACAAAACUUGCCGCUGUUUGAGACGGUGUGACUGAGCAAUGUUCUUCCAUACUAAAUCUUCCCUAAAGCUCUUAAAUUUAAAUCUGUAUAGUUGGAGAAGGGGUCUGAAUGAAGCACGAUAUCAGUUCUUUAUCUGGUCAACUGGAUGGAUGCUGAGUAAUGAACUUGUGAUAUGUUUUAUUGUAUAUAAAGUUAUCUGAUAUAAUUGACCUAAAAAUUCAAAAUGAUGAAUGUAAAAUUCAGAUUUAUUUUAAUAAUUUAUUUGUAAUAGUUUCAUAUUUCUUAAUUAUAAUUUCUAUUUUGUGUUCUGAUGUUAACAGAUAUUUGACUAUUUUAGAAAAAAGUUUUGCAAUGUAUAAAAUAAUUAUACUUUUUGAAAUUUUAUAUUUAUUUCAAUUUUUGAUAAAUGUUCAAGUUUUUUUGAAUGCCAGUGAAUUUUAUUUUUAAUUCUAUGUAACAUUACUGUCAAAUAUACAAGUUCUAAAGAAAAAUGCAAGCUCUAAAAUGCUCCUUAAUUACAUCAUAAUUAGACAUUUUGCUGAAAUGAAAGCAAAC